GGGUCCGUUUUAGCGGUUAUGCGGGAUUGGCAGAGGCUGCCGCAUUUCGCGGUUUUUUUUCCGCUUCAGACCGCCAUUUCGUAUCCUGCAGUGGAGGCGGAGACGAAGCCCAGCGCCUCCGCCCGUUUUCCGAAGACAGGGAAAAUGAGGCUGAGAAGUUUAUCUGAGGCAAGAUUUGAACCCAAGACUUUCUGAUUCUCCUUUGAUCACUCUUUGAUCACAAACCAUCCCAGCUUCCCUCAUGGCUAGCAAAAUGCCUUCUCCUUAGUUGGUAUUUAAUAAAUAAGUGUCAAAGAUGACCAAGGAUCCACCGGGUCACCUGCUCCUACUAUGACUCAAUGCAGUCUCCCAGCCUGUAGAAAAGGAUUUUUGACUGCAAGGCCACAGGAAAACAUGCAGAUGUAACAGAAGAAAUACAGCAGGACUCUGUGAAAUGCUCCAUCUACUUGGGCCAUGGUGAAUAUAGAGACAUAGAGAAGGCUAUCAUAGCCCAUACACAUCAGGGAAGAGUUGGACAAGAAGGAGAACCACCCCUAUCACUGCACUGAGGGUAGGAACUUGGGCAGUUCUAUCACAAAUGAGAUCCAUCAUUCCUUAGACUUUUACUCAAAUGAACUGAUAUUGGCUAAGAAUGCUAAGGAUAAAUCUCUUAUAAUCAGAGAAAUGCAAAUCAAAACAACUCUGAGGUAUCACCUCACACCUAGCAGAUUGGCUAACAUGACAGCAAAGGAAAGUAAUGAAUGCUGGAGGGGAUGUGGCAAAGUUGGGACAUUAAUGCCUUGCUGGUGGAGUUGUGAAUUGAUCCAACCAUUCUGGAGGGCAAUUUGGAACUAUGCCCAAAGGGCGAUAAAAGACUGUCUGCCCUUUGAUCCAGCCAUAGCACUGCUGGGUUUGUACCCCAAAGAGACAAUAAGGAAAAAGAAUUGUACAAGAAUAUUCAUAGCUGCGCUCUUUGUGGUGGCAAAAAAUUGGAAAAUGAGAAAAGCCCUUCAAUUGGGGAAUGACUGAACAAAUUGUGGUAUAUGUUGGUGAUGGAAUACUAUUGUGCUCAAAGGAAUAAUAAAGUGGAGGAAUUCCAUGGAGACUGGAACAACCUCCAGGAAGUGAUGCAGAGUAAAAGGAGCAGAACCAGGAGAACAUUAUACACAGAGACUCAUACACUGUGGUACAAUCGAGUGUAAUGGACUUCUCCAUUAGUGUCAAUGCAGUGAUCCUGAACAACUUGGAGGGAUUUACAAGAAAAACCACUAUCCACAUUCAGAGGAAACACUGUGGGAGUAGAAACACUGAAGAAAAACAACUGCUUGAAUACAUGGGUCGACGGGAUAUGGUUGGGAAUGUAGACUCUAAACGAACAUUCUAGAGUAAACAACAACAUGGAAAUGGGUUCUGAUCAAGAACACAUGUAAUACCCAAUGAAAUUGCGUGUUGGCUACAGGAAGAGUGGGUGGAGGGGAAGGGAGGAAAUAAUGUGAUUAUUGUAACCAAGGAAUAAUGUUCUGAAUUGACUAAAUGAACUUAUUCAAAUGGGGGAAGAAAAAAAAAGAAUGCUAAGGACAUGUGGCUGGGGUUGUGGUAUUGAAGGGGACUGUAGGGAAAAUGAAGAGCAUCAGAGAAGGGAGAAAACCAAAAUUUGAGGCAGAUGGGAUGAUGAUAACUAAAAAAAUGUCUUGUGUGAUUUUCACCUGUACUCAUAUGUGUAGCAUGGGUCCCACACAUGUUCCCUCUCUAUGUGACUUUUCUGAGUUUCCUCUGUGUGUAUACUUUUCUACCCACUCUCAGUGUGUGCACUUGUGGGACAAUGUGCUCAGGUUUACAGGGGAAUGCUUCAUUGCUAUUUGUCUUAUUAUCUGAUUUUAAUAAAUGCCUUUGUUUUUAACUGA